rnacentral:rRNA from 1 species
CCUACGGGCGGCAGCAGUGAGGAAUAUUGGUCAAUGGACGAGAGUCUGAACCAGCCAAGUAGCGUGAAGGAUGACUGCCCUAUGGGUUGUAAACUUCUUUUAUAUGGGAAUAAAAUGUUCCACGUGUGGGAUUUUGUAUGUACCAUAUGAAUAAGGAUAGGCUAACUCCGUGCCAGCAGCCGCGGUAAUACGGAGGAUCCGAGCGUUAUCCGGAUUUAUUGGGUGUAAAGGGAGCGUAGGUGGAUUGUUAAGUCAGUUGUGAAAGUUUGCGGCUCAACCGUAAAAUUGCAGUUGAAACUGGCAGUAUUGAGUACAGUAGAGGUGGGCGGAAUUCGAGGUGUAGCGGUGAAAUGCUUAGAUAUCACGAAGAACUCCGAUUGCGAAGGCAGCUCACUGGACUGCAACUGACACUGAGGCGCGAAAGUGUGGGGAUCAAACAGGAUUAGAUACCCCUGUAGUC